rnacentral:misc_RNA from 1 species
UAUAACUUUUUAUUUUAUUGCCAACCAUUCUAAACACAUUUUAUUGUUUGUGAAAAACAUAGACCUGAAAAUGCAGGGCAAAGCCUACUUGUGAAAGCACAGCAGUCCCAACUCGAAACAAAAUUCAAAUAAAAAGCUCCAGGUCUACAAGAGGUGCACAGUUGGAGAAAUGAUAAAGAUGACAAGCGUGCACAUGCUCUUCCUUUUGCAAGGAGACCAGCAACAGCCUGUUCAAGUUUAUUCAAUAAUGAUCCUUCCGCAGGUUCACCUACGGAAA